AUGAUCUAGUGCAGCACGUAUGCUAAAAUAGGAAUGAUACAGAGAAGAUUAGCUUGGCCCCUGUGCAAGGAUGACAUGCAAAUUUGUGAAGUGUUCUGUUUAAAA
rnacentral:snRNA from 14 species